GGUCGCGUGGCGAAAUGGCAUCGCGUCUGACUACGAUUAUGUCUUCGGACACAUCGUAACUCAAUCAGGAGAUCGCGGGUUCGACCCCCGUCGUGACCU
rfam:Trichosporon oleaginosus strain IBC0246 unplaced genomic scaffold CC85scaffold_5, whole genome shotgun sequence.